CCCUUAGAUGUUCUGGGCCGCACGCGCGCUACACUGAUCGAGUCAGCGAGCAUGUCCUACGCCGACAGGUGCGGGGAAUCUUGUCAAACUUCGUCGUGAUGGGGAUUGAUUAUUGAAAUUCUUGAUCAUCAACGAGGAAUUCCUAGUAAGCGCAAGUCAGCAGCUUGCGUUGAUUACGUCCCUGCCCUUUGUACACACCGCCCGUCGCUACUACCGAUUGAAUGGUUUAGUGAGAUCUUCGGAUUGGCGCCACUGCGGCUCAGCAAUGGGCUCGGUGGAUGCCGAAAAGUUGAUCAAACUUGAUCAUUUAGAGGAAGUAAAAGUCGUAACA
rnacentral:rRNA from 1 species